rnacentral:rRNA from 1 species
AUUGAACGCUGGCGGCAGGCCUAACACAUGCAAGUCGAACGAGUGGCGGACGGGUGAGUAAUGUCUGGGAAACUGCCCGAUGGAGGGGGAUAACUACUGGAAACGGUAGCUAAUACCGCAUACCAUCGGAUGUGCCUAGAUGGGAUUAGCUAGUAGGUGGGGUAACGGCUCACCUAGGCGACGAUCCCUAGCUGGUCUGAGAGUAUGACCGGCCACCAUGGAACUGAGACACGGUCCCGACUCAUACGGGAGGCAGCAGUGGGGAAUAUUGCAGAGUGGGCGCAAGCCUGAUGCAGCAAUACCGCGUGUAUGAAGAAGGCGUGCGGGUUGUAAAGUGCUUUCAGCGAGGAGGCGUUACUCGAAGAAGAAGCACCGGCUAACUCCGUGCCAGCAGCAGCGGUAAUAC